UCUACCAAAGGAUAAUAGUAUUCCACUGGUCUU
rnacentral:tRNA from 1 species